CACCAGAGCCAGAGACCCGACAAGCCCCUAGGAGCUUUUCAGGCUGCCAGGUGUAAAGCAUGACCCCAGCCAUUUGCUAUGUACCACAGAGGGACAGCGGGAGCAGGGAUGUUGGAAUCUCACGACUGAUUUGACUUGAGACCUCCCUCACGUUGGCCCCCAGAACUGAAGAGCCUUCUUAUACAAGGACUCUGCUGGGACUGGAGUCUCUGCAGAUCUGGAAAAUCUACAUCAGGGAAAGGAGACAGGGGUCAAAGGGCAGCCCUGCAGAUGGCUGGAGGGUGAAUGAGUGUGGCUAGGAAAACUUGCUGCAUUCCACGGGAAAGUGGGGCUGUGUAACCCAGCAACUCCGUUCCUCUUUAAUAUCACACAGCACCAUCCUCUAUGCCUUUUGUCUCUGGCUUACUUUACGUUCUUAAAUAUGAAAAAGGACCCUAGAUAACUCCUGUACGUGAGCCAAGCUGGUCGAUAUUUGAAUAAAUGUAAAAAACAGUA
rnacentral:lncRNA from 1 species